GACUACCCGAGUAUCUAAUCCUGUUUGAUACCCACACUUUCGAGCAUCAAUGUCAGUCACAGUUUAGUAAGCUGCCUUCGCAAUCGGGGUUCUUCGUGAUAUCUAAGCAUUUCACCGCUACACCACAAAUUCCGCCUACCUCAACUGUACUCAAGACUGCCAGUAUCAAUUGCAAUUUUACGGUUGAGCCGCCAACCUUCACAACUGACUUAACAACCCAUCUACGCUCCCUUUAAACCCAAUAAAUCCGGAUAACGCUCGGCUCCUCCGUAUUACCGCGGCUGCUGGCACGGAGUUAGCCGAUGCUUUUUCUUCGGGUACUCUCGGAACGCCACGCGUGGCGUCUUUUGCUCCCCGACAAAAGAGGUUUACAAUCCAUAGGACCGUCUUCCCUCACGCGACUUGGCUGGUUCAGGCUCGCGCCCAUUGACCAAUAUUCCUCACUGCUGCCGCCCGUAGG
rnacentral:rRNA from 1 species